UAGGGAAUAUUGCACAAUGGGGGAAACCCUGAUGCAGCGACGCCGCGUGAGUGAUGAAGGCCUUCGGGUCGUAAAGCUCUGUCGUAUGGGACUAACAAAAUGAAGGUACCAUGCAAGAAAGGAUCGGCUAACUUCGUGCCAGCAGCCGCGGUAAGACGAGGGAUCCUAGCGUUGUUCGGAAUUAUUGGGCGUAAAGCGGGUGUAGGCGGACUUAUAAGUCAGGUGUGAAAUCCCAGGGCUCAACCCUGGAAGUGCACUUGAUACUGCAAGUCUUGAGUGUGGUAGAGGCUAUUAGAAUUCCUGGUGUAGUGGUGAAAUACGUAGAUAUCAGGAGGAAUACCGGAGGCGAAGGCGGAUAGCUGGGCCAACACUGACGCUGAGACCCGAAAGCGUGGGGAUCAAACAGGAUUAGAUACCCCAGUAGUCCCUGAGCGGGCUGGCAAGGCGCAU
rnacentral:rRNA from 1 species